CUUCUUCCCCCAAGCAGGGCCAUUCUGUUACAAACAGCCAAGACAUAGCUCUAUGGUCUAUGUCUCAUAGACCCUCCCACAGCCAGCUCUGUCACUCUGCUCCAUACACCAAAGGCGCUGUGUAGGAAGAGAGGUCUCUCCCAUGACUGCAGGGUCUGCCUGGGCAGGCUGCUGCAAACAUGAGGCAAAAGAAAUUUGGCAUCCCGCAGUGUGUCUGCUGGAGGGCUGAAGAUACCUCCGUGAAGAUGGGAACCUGCUCCCUCACAAACAGCAUGUGUCACAAAGUGGUCAGCUUCAUACCAACGGGUGCUGUUCUAUGAUGUGACUGAAAAUGGGUGAUAACUUACAAGUCAGAAGAACCAAAUUGCCACUUCUGAGCUGAAGAAAGCAAAACUUCUCAGGGAACGUACAAAACAAGAUGUACACAAAAUAUCCUAAAGAGCACACAUUGAUGACCAAAUUUUGACCUAAACCACUUUUCCUUUGACUUUGUCUGAUCCA
ensembl:lncRNA